rfam:Callithrix jacchus chromosome X, whole genome shotgun sequence
GGGAAACGACGCCAGGGCUGGGGCGAUGAGCCAUCCCAAGCCCUGGCAAGCAUAGGCUCA